GUGCGGGACCCAAAACGGACCAGUCCGGCACGUCCCUUCACUGCGUCAUGACAUCACAUCCGCCGUCAGAAAUCCAAUCCUCAACGCAGAGGGACUGGGAGUCGGGAGCUGCAGAGUGCGUGCGCCUUUUCUGUUACUGAGCAUGCGCAGUAGAAAUUGCGGCGGUCGCCGCCUCAGAUCGAAACAGGGAACAAGAUUAAACCCCUAGAUCACUUGCAGACUUCAACUGCUGAUUGAAUUGUUCUGACCAGAAGUGGUCUCCUAUUGGGGACCAUAUGGAGUGGAGAGAGGAAAGAAAUAGGCUACCAAAAACAACUCAGAUGUGUUUUGUAUGGUGCCCACCAAUCUUAGCAAAUAGGUCACUUGUAUAGCAUUUCCUGGGAGGAGCAUCCACAUGGGUAAGGACAUGAAACCCCAAGCUGAAAUAAUAACUGAAAAUGUCAAGGCUUUAUUUUGCAAUAGAUAUCUUACAAAGAAAAGAUUUACUUUUAUUGAUAUUCAUGGACGUGCAAUGCAUCAGAGUUUUUCUGUGGUGUCUCCUUCUCAUUUAGUCAUUUGUUCCUGUGCUUCAACUCAGAGGUAAAGAUGCUAGCUGGAAAUGUAUGUAUAUUUAACACAGAGACAGAUACUAAAAUCAUCACAUUCAAGACCCAAAAAUGGCUUCCAAAUUUGUGGGUGCAGUUUUGCACUCACUAUUAAUUACUCCCAUAAAGUGGAGGUCAGGUUGAGGUGACUUUAAAAAUUUGGUUCAUAAUAUUAACUAAUUCUAUUCAUCCUCACUUCUAGACGCUGCAGACUUGACAUCACCUAGGAGCAUCAUCUAAGGUAUUGUCUUGGGCACUUCCUGAAGGAGAGUUUUCUGCUUCAGAGGCAGGGCUAUCAAGGAGAGGGAUAGAGUCAUCCAUUUCCAUGCUAUGCUGCUUCUCCAGUUCGUAAGUUAGGCCAGAGUUCCCUUUGUCACUGACCUCUCCCUCCAAUUCGUCUGCCAGUUUGUCCUGGGCCUGAGCUGCCUCCUCAGAAUCUUCCUUUUGGUGCAGAAAACUACAAAUCAUAUUAGGUCUGCUGUAUGAGAAAUCUUUGUCUUUAAUCUGUAACCACUCCACACCACCUGGUCAGAAAAAAGAUAAACUAGUGAAACGGGGAGGAGAGAUUUUAACAGCAAGACAAUAUAUUUUCUUAGUUUCACGAGUUCAUUGUUUUAGCCUCAAACAAUAACUAGAAAUAUGCAACAAAGGUAAUGUUAUGUUUGAGAAAAAACAACAUUAUGUAUGAGGUGGUGUGUGCCAUAAGCUUCUGCUACAAAAAGACUUGAGGGAAAGAAAGGAAACUGCCUGUGACCCAUUUUCCAAACUGGAGACAGUAAAAUUCCUCCCAAAUGUCCUUACUUCCUUCUGCUGCAUAAGACGGACCUAUUUUCACUAUGAUCCUCACAUGCUGAAGUGAGGAGAAAAAUUCUUAGUUAAGACAAAUAGCAGCUUAAGUUUCACUGUUUUGAAGCAAUACAGCAUAAAACUCUGAGGGGUAGAAGGUUUGUUUGCUUGCUUAUACUGGUUUAUAUCUCCAAUAUAACAUUUUUUGUCUAAGAACUGAGCGAGGGUCUUCAGAAUCCCCAUCAUAUAGAUGAUUUCUAAUCAGCCAUUUUCAUUUGCUUUGCACUUGAGAGCUACAUAUCAGAACUAUUGUUCUUCUAGCUGAGCAGUGCCCCCAACAAGCUCUUAGCUCUACUGCUUCUUCAAAUCAGCCAGUGUUUCCUAUUAGGAGACUCAACACCUGUCCACAUCCAACACACAAGCUACUGCUGCUGACUCCUGAGUAUUUUCAACCUAGGAAGGUACGAAGAAUCGAGAUAUGGUCUCCCAUGUGCUGUGUAAAACAUAACUAUUACACCACCAGCUAAACCCAUUACAUUUCUAAAAUUUGGCAAUAUAUGAAUUUUUAUGGUACUUAUUGCUGUCACAAACGGGGCCACUCAAUUACAGUACACUCCAAGAAAUUAAAACCAAAAAUACAUCAAAACAAAGAGGGCUGCUUAAUGGGUAUGGUAUUUCCCCCUUAAUGGGGAUGCCUUCUGUUGAUUUACUGGCAUUUGAGUUUUGCGUGCGUGUCUCAUGCUGGUUCUGUUUGUUCAUCUAAUAGCUUUUCAUUCUUCCACAGCAGUGAUACAUAAAAAUAAAUGGUACAAAGUUGUAAAGGUCAACAUUUCCUUGCCUAAUCCAAAAGAAUGACUGGGAUGGGAAUGACAUCUUUCAAGAAUGUAGAUCUUUAUCUUUGGGCUGAGUCCCACCAUACAUUCAGGAGUUGAGGCCACUAGUUUUUGUGGUUGUUGAGGUUUCCCUGAAAGCUAGGGCUGUGUCUUGGUUAACUAAGUCUAAGUGUGUCUGGGAUAACUAAAAACUAUUAUUUAACAGGAUAAUCCUUUUCCAAUUCCUAUUUAUCUUAGAAUCAGUGCAUUUAUAUGAUGACAGAAAAUUCCACUUGCAUUAUAAAUACUGGGAGGGGGAAAUCCUUUUCAUUCAAAGGUUGGUUUCUCAAUUAUUUAUAAUACCAGUGAAAUAGUGGAUCACACAGACAUUAGUUUACCAUUCUUCUGUAUUUAUUUUGUACUGUGCACCUAUGCAAGUUCCAAAACAGUUACCAUAUGAUUCAAGAUGCUAAGAAUAUAUUUUACUGAUGCAAAAUGGAAACUAUCGUGUUAAUUUAAGUUUAGACUAUCAAAUAACUUGAUGGAACAUGGCACCUGAAAACAUCUAAGAAUGACUACGAAUGAAAAGUGGUACCGCAGGUCUGUAGACCAGUUUAUUAAAAAUACAGAUUACUAAUGGAACUGGUAUUUCUUCCUUCAUGUAAGUAUGCUCUUCAGAAGUCACACAUGCUCAAUAUACAGUAAUCAAAAUGUGUCAAGUGCUGAAUGUAUGAGUAUUGAGUGUUUGUCAUGUGCAAGCAUUGAAUUGCUUGUGAGGAAGCUUGAGAGUUCAAUUAGAACAUUUCCUACAGUGGCGUUGUUUUAAUUAAGCAACCCACCUGCCACUAUAUUACACUAACUUUUAAAAUGAAUGAUUUCUUAAUAAAUCAAUAGGUAGUAUUAGGUGGGGAAAGGAAAUGUUACAUCUUAUGGGUAAAAGUCAUCCCAUCUGUGAUCAGAUCUUCACAUCUAGAUCGCUCACAAGAUGACUUUUUAAUACCAUAAAAUGUAAUCUUCCAGCAGAAUAUGUAUAAAUUUAGCAUAAAAUGGCUCUUUAUUCCUAACCCUGUGUAUGAGCAAAAUAGCAGGAACAAUUGGGAAUAAGACAUUGCUAGGAGCAGUAUUACUGUAAAUAUCUAAAUACAGAAACAGCAUUGACUUCCGGCCUAGAGAUGAAAGGCAAAAUUUAACCCUGGUGUGAAAUGGUACAACGACAUUGAAGCAAGUGCACCAGAACUUAAUUUGCCUACAGAAUGCAUAUAAAAAUGGAAAGUAGUUUGGCCAAAAUCACAGGAAGCUUUACAAAUAGCUAUCAUUUUUUAGUUCAGUUAAUUUGUUUAUAUAUGAUGUUGUUGUUUAAGAACGGAAAGCUUGUAUCCUUUAGUUCCCUGGAUACUUAUUGGCACUAAAUGGUCAAACUAAUUUUUGUCUCCAGCUUGGUAUCAAAGAUAAGGUUUAGUCCUAGGACGACCUCACAUGUUCCCACAUACAAGACCAGGUGCACUAACCUACACUCUCUUCUCCUUCCUUCUUUUCAGUCAGAAGCGUCCGUGUCAUGUUCAGCUUCUUCAUUGUGUGGCAUUUGUAUUUCAGCUGUAGCUUUUGGUUUCCUUCUGCGUCCACUAUAAAUAAAAAUUAAUUGAUUCAUUUUAGUGAACAUCCACAUCAUCUGAAACAUGAAAAUUAUCUGAACCUUACAGCGUCAGCUCAGAUACAAGCCAGAACAUAAAAGAUGUAUCACUUACCUUGUUCUGCAUUUUCUUCAAACACCACACAGGUUCCAAGGGUAUCUAUGGAGAACAAAGGACAGUUAGCUGAGAAAUAACAGAGGUUAUUUGCCAAAGGCCCAGUACUUCAAAAACCUGAGUGCUCUCCACUUCCACUGAAGUCAUGGAAAUUGAGGAUGAUCAGUAUCUCUCAUGAUUGGGCCCUGUAUGUCACACUGAAAAUGAGCAGUUUCAUCCAUAUAAUCUUUUCCUACCUUCAUACUCCCCAGCAAAGACAUAUCUGUCCACUUGCAAAAUGGGCCUCUCUGUGUCUAUUCCCUACAAACAAGGAUAGACAGAAAUUACAUGGAAGUCAUGCUUCAGCUAGUCAAGGCAAGGCACCAAGACUAGAGAAAACAACUGGUAAACUGAUUUGCCAAGUACAGUAAAACCAGCAUUAUAUACAGAUUCUCUGACAUGGUAUAUGCAGUACAAGACAAAAAAGCAAUAUGGAAUGCAAGCUAGUGAUAGUAAAUCAAGUCUAUUCUAUCACACUGAGAUUAGUAUGGGGAGAAAAACGAACAUACACAAAGGAAACUUUCUUUUCAGUUUAUAGACUCAAAAGCUUCCUAAACUGUGAGAUUUAGAUGAAACAGAUAUACAGUAUAUCUCGGAAAAUUAGGUAAGCAAAUGAGAAAGGUGUGCAGGAGACAAAAAGGUUGCAUGAGUACACAAACACCUAAACAACACGCAGGCACAUCAGCAGUCCAAUGGCAGAGGUAGGAAGCUAUUAUUUAUAUGCAACAAGCAGCUCUCUGAAAAUAAAGGGACACCGUCAACUUAACAUCAAGCAAAUUUCUAAAAGUGAGUUAAAAAUGGUUUCCAGGACUAGUCCUGCUUCUGUUUCCUUCUACAAGUUUCUGUGGUUUUACAAUCACUUUCCCCUAUUUUUAGAGUUUUUUUUUUCUCCCAUUUCUGUGAGUGUGUCUCACAAUCAACAAGGAAGUGACUAUACAAAAGAAAUAGUGAACCUGACUACACACAAAAUGCUGUGAAACAAAGUAAACAAACAGAAAUAUUUUGGGGGUAAUAACUUCUUUCAAUCAUAGUAACUUUAAUUGUUAUAUUAAUUAUACUCGGUACAUGAUUUUAAGACAAACACUAUUUUCCAGUUGAUGGUGUCCCACAGAGUUGACUGAAUCCUUUUAAAAAGUCUUUGACCUGGAAAAGGCUACAGCAUGUUGAGGGAAGAGGCAGUUGCGAGAAGUCCAAAGGAGCAUAAACUAACCUGUAUCCAAUCUCCUAUUUAACAACAGCUUUUCAAAAGUACUUUAUGUAAUUGCCUCAGGGAAAACAGUAUUUUAACUUAGAGUUUUACAUUACUAAAUUUACUUGCAUGGAAAAUAAAUGAUUCCCUAAGGGACAAAACCUUUUCAGGGCUGCAUACUGGGGGAUUUCUGUGUGGACAAGAGGGUGGAAGAAAUCCUUACUCUGACUGCAGUUCAGUACAAAAUCUAUUUCAUUGCCAUUAAUGCAACUUCAGGUUUACAAUAGCUUCUGUGGCUCCUGUGCAUUCAUUUUGGGAGUGUGUUUUUUGGGUUGGGGUGGCAUGGUUUGGAGGCUGGGUGGGCAGAGACGGCCAGAGGAUUUACUGAGUAUAUGCCUUCCCAAAGCACAGUUGCAUGCAGGGAUGCUGGAAGUCCCCUCUGAACAUAGCCUUGCAGCAUAGAGGUUGGGACCCUUGCAUGAGGUUCCAAAAUCCUGCUCUCCCUUUUGCAACAGAACCUUUUAAGUUGUGCUGGCUCUGAGCCCUUCCAACUACACAGGGCAUAGGGACAAGAUUUAUAAUCUAACAGGUUAUUGGUUCUUCCUGCUUAUUCUUCAUACAGAAUCACAAUCCUCAGUUUGUAGUAUCAGUCCUCUCCACACAACCCAAUUAUGAUGUCACAAAUUAAGGAAGACAUCAGACGGAGAAUCAGCCCCAAGAUCAGAAGAACUCUUAAUGGUGACACCCCCAGACAUCAGCAUUGCUCGCCUGUUCGAUGGCCCAUCAGGGUCAUCAGCUAUACAAAGAACCCACUGAAAGGAGCCAGGGGCUACACCUUCUGAGUCAGCAGGACGAGUAGGGGCAUGCCUAUAGAUAGAGAACUUUAAGGCUUUUCCAUGCCUUGUGUUGUGAAGCUUGAGUUUGGGACACAGGAAGUACAAGCCAGAUGGCAAAAGGAAUAUAAAGGGCAGCUGCAUCAUCUCCAUGUUGUAUUCAUUUCUGCUUCUUACUUCUGGAGUAACUUUUCUACAAACGAAGCUCUGA